CGAGGACCUGGACAUGCAACAUGUUGCCAGUGUGAUAUGCCUCAAUCAAUGGAUCUUGAUUUACUUGAUUCUAUCACGUGUGGGGAGAAUGGAAGUUGCACAGAUUCUGGGUUGUGGUCACUGUAUCGCGUUUAUUAUUUGAUUCAUCAUGCUACCAGACAUCACAAGUCACGCACCGUCAAACUAUUGAUAUUCAUAGUCACGAUAGGACUGCUUACAUAUCAAAUAAGACUGCAUUGACUAUCUGUUUGCACACUUCAAACACACUAGUGACCACGGCAGCGGUGGAUCUUACAGUCCAGGACACAAGUGAGAGUUCAUUGCGAGAGUUCCAAAAGACUGAAUGACGAUGCCUGCAUCUGGAUGUAAGAAGAUUUUGAUAGUUCACGGCUACUUACUCCAGGAUUCUGGAUCAUGUGUCUACGUGCGGAAUCUGGCCACCGGCUUCCAUAUGCAGGGGCAUCAUGUGACAAUUGCCUGUCAGGAUAUUCAUGCUGAAAAGCUGAAAGAUAUCGUGCAUAAAACUGAAGACGUGAACUUCCCAGAGAACGAUGGCGUCACUGCCUUCAUACCGAUGCCUCCCUUUAUGAACCACGUCCUGCCUGUCUACUUUUACAACCCUUAUGAAGGAUACAACGCCAAGACCAUUGUUGAGAUGACCGAACAGGAAGGCGAAGAGCACAUUCAGUUUGUCUCAAAGCGACUGGCUGACUUGAUCAGUGUUCACAGUUACGACUUUAUUAUGACAAACCACUGUCUGUUUAGCCCUAUCAAUGUCAAGAGGGCGCUCGAGAUGUGCGGGAAGAGUAUUCCUUACGUCAGCAAGAUCCAUGGAAGUGCACUCAAUACCAUAGCAGCGAAGGAUAAACGCUGGUUGCCGUUUAUUUACGAGGGUCUCCGCGGUGCGAAGAAGAUCAUUUGCGGCACAAGGUAUAUGCAAAUGAGGUUAUUUGAUGUACUGACAGAAACCCUUCCUCCCGCGAGCAUAAUACCUUGCGGCGUCAAUACAGCUUUAUUUUCAGGCUUUCCUCGCGUUCCUCGUAGGAAUAGACCAUUCAACAUCAUAUUUUGGAGCCAUAUUCUCAACACGAAAGGAAUAGGUGAACUCCUUUUGGCAAUUUCGCACGUUAAAGGAAAACACCCGAACAUCCAGUUCCACGUGGCUGGGACGGGAAUGUAUGUUGAUAACUUCCAACGAAUGAUUGAAGCUCUCGACGAAGGCGAUGCUGCAAAAUUCGAAGCCAAUGCAUUCAAGAAUGAUUUCGUAGCGAAGCACGUUGAAGUGAAAUCUCUUUUCAAGAAGAUUGAUACCGAUUUCAUUAAGUACCAUGGCUUCCUGACGCAUGACAUCCUUGCCCCCCUACUUGCAACCUGUGACAUCAUGGUGGCACCGAGUAAAGCAGAUGAAGCGUUCGGUAUGGUCACAAUUGAGGCGCUGGCUGCGGGGGUUUAUCCUGUUGUAGCCGACCACAGUGGACUCUCAAACGUCGUCGAUAUAAUCUCAUCCUACGACUCAGCAGUGACGAAUUGUAUGAAGAUUCCUUACCCCGACGGCAGGAUUGAUGUAGGAGAGCUAAUCGCGGCGGUGAAUAGGGCGGUCGAAUUCGUAAAGUCGAGUGAUGAUCAACUGGCGGGGAGGUUAAGGACUAUCAGCAAGAAUCUAGAUUGGAAGGAAGUGUGUGACAUGAUAAUGAACUAAAGAGACAUUUCGCCUAUGUGGAUUGAUCCGGCUGACAAGACAUCGGAAAAACAAAAAAAUACCCUGAAGAAUUCAUUUAAAUUUCACUUCGCUGUCCAAUGAUGAAGUCAUUAACAAACAUUCUAACCGCUCUAUAUCCUCCACCCACCACUAGAAACACUUAAGAAUUGGAUUUCUAUGGUGAGGUAGGCGAACUCUAUCCCACAACACAUUAAAAUCAUUUGUAGUCUUCAUGUUAAAUAAAAGUCGCUCAGCUCACAGACUAUUAGCGCCUAGGCUGACAGGAUAGGCGGCCCUUGAAUAUCAUACUCAUCAUUCGAGUGCCGUCCAACAUUUCUGCUCUGUGUAUCAUUUGAUUGUUCGUACAUGUAUUGGCAAUAAAAAACCACUCAGAUAGAAAACUCAUUUGGACCGUGAUCACGAUGCUCAGUCCGGAUUAAAGUGUCACGCAGUAUUCAUCGACCAGUCUGAUGAGAUUGGCAAGUUCCGCUGCUAAUGGUACUUUGGCUGUCUAACUUAUGAGCAGUGAAGUGAUACCAUUCAUCGAAAUGACAUUGGCUAUAAAUUUGCAUAGUGGGAACCAAUUUAGUUUCAAAUUGUAGACGUUUGAGGCGCAUUUGGUAUUGCGUUAGUUGAUACUCUCUACGGCCGUUAAACGUUUAGGUGGUGUACCAAAAUCUCGGAAACAUGAUAAUCGGGACUUUAGUUUAGUGUAACCAUCAACAUUCGACAGAAGAACAAAUGGAUUAUAACGCAGCUCUUAUCAUAAUAACGACUUCGAUCCUUUCUGUACUAGGGACUGAACGUCCUGUUGGCGUCUGGCCCCUCGACUCUAUCUCCAGGUUGCGAGAUGUGUCGGGAAAUGAAAACCACAUGACCCAAUCCAACACAAAGUUUGUAGAGUGGUCGAGCGGCAUUGGCGAGACAGCUGUACGCCUCUCCAACGAUAACGUUAUCACGAUACUUCAAAAGGAUGGCGCAGAUUCAAUGAAUUGCGGAGGGAGCUUUACCUUGAUGUUCCAUGUUCACAUUAGAAGUUUGACUUCUCUGUUCUUCCGUUGGCAUGGAAAAAUGGGUUACGGAUCCAUGGCGAGGAUAUCUAACGGUCAGCCCUGGUUGAUUCUGCGCAGAAGUUCACUUCAGCCCCUUCUCCUCUUUCGCGUGCCAAUUCGAUUGAAAUCUACGCAAUGGAACUUCGUCGCCUUUUCAUAUGACUCCGAGACCAGAGAGGCCCUGGCUUGUGUGAAUGACCAGUGUGCAUCUGCCAAAUCAACUGGAAAGCCUGGGGAAAAGCACAUGGCCUAUGGUAAAAUGACGAUCAGAAGUCAGUCAAGAGGCAAAGAAGGACUAAAGCUUGCCUGCAUCCGCCUUUACAGAAUCAACUUAAACAAAAAGGAACUUCUCAGGAUGGCGAUCCUCCACCUAAACUGCACUGAUCAUUCCAUUAUGACACCAGCUAUGUUAUUCAGAAAGUACUCAAAAGCAGUGCCUCUCUCUGACGUCACAUGGACUUCUGACGUCACAGGUCGAGGGCCCCUCAAAUGUCUUUUCGAAUGUCACACACGUGACAAGUGCUCUGCUGUCAACCUCGAUACCAAAGGUCAAAACUGCCGUAUGGGAUCUUACACGAGUGAAUCAUUACUUACAACAGGAGACGAGGAUGCAUAUGUCGCUUCCAAUCUCAAUUAACGAUACAACCUUGGAUGAGGAUUUCUUUCGUUUCCAGUUUAAUCGGUGUUCCUGGCUAGUUGUAUCUGCAUAUUUAUUUUAGUAUACAUUCCCUAAACUACUGAUAGAACUUAUAGUCACACGUGUCCGAAGAGAUUUCCGGGGUUGGGUCAGCUUGGUUGUUUGUCCAGCCUAUGUGAGUGGUAUGAUAAUCAACAUGACCACCGAAGACACAACAGUUACCAGCAUGAACAGCAUGAAGAAAAACCUAUCAAGAAUUUCAGCGGCGACCUUCCAGCUGUUUGCGUACUUUCCGCUAC